CACGUAGUUAGCCGGGGCUUCUUAGUCAGGUACCGUCAUUAUCUUCCCUGCUGAUAGAGCUUUACAUACCGAAAUACUUCUUCACUCACGCGGCGUCGCUGCAUCAGGGUUCCCCCCAUUGUGCAAUAUUCCCCACUGCUGCCUCCCGUAGGAGUCUGGGCCGUGUCUCAGUCCCAAUGUGGCCGUUCACUCUCUCAAGCCGGCUACUGAUCGUCGCCUUGGUAAGCCGUUACCUUACCAACCAGCUAAUCAGACGCGGGUCCAUCCCAUAGCGAUAAAUCUUUCAAAACAGGACCAUGCGGUCCCGCUUUCCCAUGCGGUAUUAGCAGCCGUUUCCAGCUGUUGUCCCCCUCUAUGGGGCAGGUUACCCACGCGUUACUCACCCGUCCGCCACUCAGUCAUCCCAUAUGCUUCCUUCCCCAGCAAGCUGGUUCUGUCUGCGGGUGGGAUGCUUCGUUCGACUUGCAUGUGUUAGGCACGCCGCCAGCGUUCAU
rnacentral:rRNA from 1 species